rnacentral:rRNA from 1 species
UCGGGAAUUUUGGGCAAUGGGCGAAAGCCUGACCCAGCAACGCCGCGUGAGGGAUGAAGUAUUUCGGUAUGUAAACCUCGAAAGAAUGGGAAGAAUAGAUGACGGUACCAUUUAUAAGCUCCGGCUAACUACGUGCCAGCAGCCGCGGUAAUACGUAGGGAGCAAGCGUUGUUCGGAUUUACUGGGCGUAAAGGGCGCGUAGGCGGCGCGGUAAGUCACUUGUGAAAUCUCUGAGCUUAACUCAGAACGGCCAAGUGAUACUGCUGUGCUAGAGUGCGGAAGAGGCAACCGGAAUUCUUGGUGUAGCGGUGAAAUGCGUAGAUAUCAAGAGGAACACCUGAGGCGAAGGCGGGUUGCUGGGCCGACACUGACGCUGAUGCGCGAAAGCCAGGGGAGCAGACG